AGGCCUAACACAUGCAAGUCGUACGAGAAGGUUCCUUCGGGAACUGGAGAGUGGCGCACGGGUGAGUAACGCGUGGGGACCUACCUUUCAGUGGGGGAUAACGGUUGGAAACGACCGCUAAUACCGCAUACGCCCUUCGGGGGAAAGAUUUAUCGCUGAAAGAUGGACCCGCGUUGGAUUAGAUAGUUGGUGAGGUAACGGCUCACCAAGUCAGCGAUCCAUAGCUGGUUUGAGAGGAUGAUCAGCCACACUGGGACUGAGACACGGCCCAGACUCCUACGGGAGGCAGCAGUGGGGAAUAUUGGACAAUGGGCGCAAGCCUGAUCCAGCCAUGCCGCGUGAGUGAAGAAGGCCUUCGGGUUGUAAAGCUCUUUCAGAUGCGAAGAUGAUGACGGUACCAUCAGAAGAAGCCCC
rnacentral:rRNA from 1 species